GAUGAACGCUGGCGGCGUGCCUAAUACAUGCAAGUCGAGCGAACAGAUGAGGAGCUUGCGCCGCUGACGUUAGCGGCGGACGGGAGUGUAACACGUGUAUAACGUACUUAUCAUACUGGGAUAAUUACGAAAAACCGGAUCUAAUACCAUAUAAUAUAUUGAACCACAUUGUUCAAUAGUGAAAGACGGCUGUGCUGUCACGUAUAGAUGGAUCUCCGCCGGAUUAGCUAGUUGGGAAGGUAACGGCUUACCAAGGCAACGAUGCGUAGCCGACCUGAGAGGGUGAUCGGCCACACUGGAACGGAGACACGGUCCAGAGUCCUACGGGAGGCAGCAGUAGGGAAUCUUCCGGAAUGGGCGAAAGCUUGACGGAGCAACGCCGCGGGAGUGAUGAAGAUCUUCGGAUCGUAAAACUCUGUUAUUAGGGAAGAACAAAUGUUUAAGUGACUAUGCACGUCUUGACGGUAACUAAUCAGAGAGCCACGGCUAACUUCGUG
rnacentral:rRNA from 1 species